rnacentral:rRNA from 1 species
GACGAACGCUGGCGGCGUGCCUAAUACAUGCAAGUCGAACGCAGUGGGGACGGGUGAGUAACACGUGGGUAACCUCCCAUCAGAGGGGAUAACACUUGGAAACAGGUGCUAAACCGAUACUGAUGGAUGAACCCGCGGGGCAUUAGUUAGUUGGUGAGGUAACGGCUCACCAAGGCCACGAUGCAUAGCCGACCUGAGAGGGUGAUCAGCCACACUGGAACUGAGACACGGCCCAGACUCCUACGGGAGGCAGCAGUAGGGAAUCUUCGGCAAUGGGCGAAAGCCUGACCUAGCAACGCCGCGUGAGUGAAGAAGGUUUUCGGGUCGUAAAGCUCUGUUGUUGGAGAAGCGGUAUCUAACCAGAAAGCCACGGCUAACUACGUGCCAGCCGCCGCGGUAAUUC